GCCCAAUGAUGAGAACAAGGCGAAUGCGAGCUCAUAAGACAAGAGACUGAGCUCUUCUGUGCUCCUGUUGGCUGGUAAUCUUGGCUGGGCAGGGGAGAUUUGCUGCUUUGCUGUAAGGGCUUGCCUACAUUGAACAAGUUCUUCCUAUCAAGCUUUCCCUCAAAGAAAUGGAGGAGAAAUUUGGGAAGGAUGAUCAUUUUGUGUGUGUGUGUGUGGAUGUGGACACAGGUCAAAACUCAGUUCUCUGUAAUGUCCAAUGAGCUGUGAGCUAGUUCUUCUGUAGUCUGAGGGCA
rnacentral:snoRNA from 1 species